AAUGGUUGUAACCUGUGAGGGCUAAGUUCAAAGCUUUACAAUUUCUGUUGGCAGAUCUGGUAUUGUCUUGCUAAAACUGUUGCUGAACAGACAGUUUGGGAAUAUGCAGAGAAGAACGAGCUAAAUGCUGUUACAGUAUGCCCUUGUAUUGUUUUGGGGCCACAAUUGCAACGUGUUGUCAAUACUACAAGCGAACUCCUCCUCUAUGUCAUAAAAGGUUCCCUCAUUAUUUCAUUUUGUCCCUUUUUAUUGUUGGUGUGCAGGAUUAUCACUUCUCUGACAAAACAUAAUCAUGUCUUUGGGUUGACAAAAUUCAGUAACCACUUGCCAGGCCCUCUUGGUAGCAUAGGAAUUUGCGAAGAAAUGAAACUGUAAAUUUUUUUCCUAUGGUUUUUCUAGAAGUGUUUCGAGGUGUGCUUCGGUACCCCCCCCAAAAAAAAACGUACAAAGGAGAACAUAUACUCACCUUGUAUUGUACGCUACAGGCCGCCAUACGUAUACAAUACGAGAUGGGUAUACGUAUGGUCGCCUGUAGUGUACAAUACAAGGUGUGUAUACGUUUCCCCUUCUACAUUUUGUGGGGGCGUUUGUGUGUGUGUGUGUGUGGGGGGGGGGGGGUAUGUGUACCGAAGCAAAAGUGUUUCUAGAAAAUAUUCAUAUGUAGUCACAAAACGAAUGUGCUUGUAGGAAUAUUAUGAGAAUGCAUUUUUUUGGACCAUAACAAAAAUGAAUGAUUUCUUCCAUGUGCUUAGACCUCAUGGAAAAAUUCCUCUUGACCUUCUCUCUUCCUGGAUUACUGUACUAUUUCUAUGUCACAACAGUUUUUUUGAAAAUUCCUUUUUUGCUGCAUGAUUUGAGAAACCAUGUAAUACUAGUCAUACCUUUUUUUUCCUUCUGUAUAUGAGUUUUAGAAUGUUGUGCUUUAAGGAAGUAAGGAUGCCCUUAAUUUCCUUGAGAAACCCUUAUAUGUAAUAACUGCAAAACUCAACUGCGCUGUUGAAGAAGGUUCUUAAAUAUGAUUGGGCUAAUGUGAGAACAGUUAACCUUUCUUGCAUUGCUUAUUCUAUUUGUGCACUAUUGUUUUACCUCAGCCUCUUAACAGCGUGCUGGAGAACUACUGGUCUUUAGUUAUUGACUUCUGGGAGUGCUGAAAGUUUUAUUACAGGAGGUCCUAAUGUGUUGAAUGACAUGCUGUGGCACAUAGUCGAUGUCCGUGAUGUGGCCGAUGCCCUGCUUCUAGUAUACGAGAAACCAGAAUCAUCCGGAAGAUAUAUCUGCGCACCAAAUUAUAUUAGCACAAACGCUAUGUUGGAGUUGCUAAAGAAGACGUACCCUGACUACAACUAUGUAAAGUGGUGGGUCUCUUCUCUUAUCAUGUGUUCCUUGUAUGUUGGUAUGUAUCAAAUGGCACAUUCUUACUAUUGUUUGAACGACUCUAUCUGCUUUUUGCAGCAAGGCUGAUGUGCAUCAGAACUCUCCUACCACGCUGAUCACGUCAGGAAAAUUGAAUGAUCUGGGCUGGAAGCCGAGGGCAUUGGAGGAGACGCUACUGGACAGCAUCGAUUAUUACCGGAAGACAGGAAUUCUGCAGGAUGGGGAGGGACAGACCUACCGCCUCCCUGAUAUUUUCCGUCGUUUUCAAGCUGCCGAGGAAUGAGUCAAGAGCGGCAGUGGCCAGUGCUUUCUAGUUAUGUCAUUGUGCUUGUAACUGCGGAACAUGCAUUGGAGUUCCCAGGUACCACACGCCCCUAUAUGAAUAUAGCAUAAAAAAAAACCAGGAAAUGUAAAAAAAUUCUAAAACUUUGGAUAUCAUAUCUGGGUGCCAAUUGUACACCCGUGUUCAAUUUUGCGGGGAAUGGAUGUCCUUGGUAUCCGUGGCAAAGGAAAUACGGUCCGACAUACGAAUCCAUCCAAAUAGUUUUUCCUAUACAUAGGAUUGUUUUUCAUUUUUUACUUAGAAAUGGGUGUACAGUGGGCACCCAAGUUUGAUAUCCCAAAAUUUCAGGAAUUUUAAAAUUUCCCGACAUUCCUUUUAUUGAUAUAUUCAUAUUUUUGUGAACCGGGCAUAACCCCUUUCCAUUACUGAUCAUAAUGGAAAUACAAGAGUCUCAGACAGAUCCAGGAGACUAGAAAGGGGGAAAGCGAGUUCAUGGCAUCAUUGGAAAACCCACUGUAAACACUGGUCAUCGAGCAGUUUACCGCCGGGCGAAAACCCAAUGACACCAAUAUAUCUCACUCUAACCUAACUAGGAAAAGGUCCAGCAAGCUAGCAAGUUCAGAAUUAUUACAGGACCCAGGCUCACAAAAGAGAAGCCAAAAAAAGAAGAAGAAGAAAAGCUCGCACAGGAGCAACCUAGCAGAAACCAAAAAUGAACUAGAAACUACUCUGAUGUUACGACGGUACCAUGAUCCCUCUCAGUCCAUCGUCACCUCAACUGGAGCUGCGCAAAUCCUCACCAGAUUAGAAGCACUGGUCUUGAGCAUCUUGUCCCCAUGCUCCAUUGCCUCACGAUCAACAUCAUUCAGCAAACCUGUCCAAUAUGUUAAGAAACUACAAGCAGAAUACACCACAUCAAAAGGAGUUCUGAACUUCUUAUCUUCAAAGGUAGCUCGAUUCCCGCUGUUCCAAACAGCCCAACAAAUAGCAACUAAACCAAAUGUAUAAAACUUCUCCCCAUCAGGAAGAAAAAUAUAGCACCGGGAAUAGUAUUAAUCUUUUUUUAGAAAAUGAGGCAUCGCCCCGGCCUCUGCACCAGGAAUAGUAUUGCCAAAUGUUAUUUGAGCAUAAGCUUGUCCCCAAAACACACCCCACAGUUUUCCAAAUAACCCUAGCCACAUGACAAGUAAAGAACAAGUGUUGAGAAGUUUCCCAAUUGCUGCAAAAAGAACAUCCGGGUUUCCAGCCCAUUUUCUUCUCUUCAUAACAUCUCUGGUAUGAACAGCAUCCUGGGAUAACUGCCAGAGGAAAAUCUGGAUUUUAAGAGGGAGUUUGGAGCUCCAAAUCCAUCUAUAAUCUCACCCAGCUGCGUUUGGUUUUACCCAUAGUCCAAACAACCUGAUCAGAGGUACCGGUAAGGUGGCACGAUUCCACAAUUUUAUUAAGUUCUACCCAGUUCUCUAACAGAGGGGGGUGGAGGCGUCUUCUAAAGAAGGCAUCCCCGACUCUAUUUUUAAAUUUGGCAACAAGGAUCUCUUGAUCAUUGCAGAUGCUAUACAACAUAGGGAAUUUGACUCGCAAGGGAUCACCACUGUUCAACGGACCAAUCCAAAGUCUAGUGAAAUUUCCAGAAUUUAAAAUGAUACCUCUACCAGCAAGGUAGAUAUCUUUCACAUUCAUGAGAGCUUUCCACAUGGGGGAGUCGCCAAAUUUACACGACACCGAGGUCACGGUAUCUUUUUUCAAGUAUUUGGCACACACAACAUCCUGCCACAACCCUUGUUGUGUCUCCAGUUUCCACCACCAUUUUGUUACCAAACUCAGGUUUUGUCUACGGAGAUCUUUCACCCCUAGACCCCCCUUUAUUCUUGGAUAUGUAGAUCCUUACCCAUUUCACCAGAUGAUAACGCUUGCGGCCAUUAUGCUCUUGCCAAAAGAAACGCUUGCGAUGCUUAUCCAGUUAAUCAACAACCUUUUUAGGCAGUAGGAACAUGGACAUAUAGUAGUAAACAAUACUAGUGAGGGAAGAACUAAGAAGAGUCAAUCUACCCCCCGAGGAAGCUGCGUUCCCAAUCCAAGAUUCACACCGCUUCAAAAAUUUCUCAUCAACAAAGUCCCAGUCCAAGCUACGCAAGGUAGAAUAACUCACCAGUCCCAGGUAUUUCAUUGGAAAAUGACCUAUUUGAAAAUUGAAGAGCUCAGUAUAUUCAUUCAAUAGGUUAUCGUAUCCCCCCACUCACAAAAUCUCACUCUUGAGGAAAUUGAUUUUAACACCAAACAUAAGCGCAAACAUGUAAAGGAUAAGUUUUAAAUUGAUCGCGCCUUCUUUAUCAUGCUCAAAACAAAUCACUGUAACAUAUGCGUAUUGAAGGAUGGCUACACCACCCUCAAUCAGGUCAGGGGCAAGACCAGUAAUCAGCUUCUCUUUCUCCGCAUUAUGUGUCAUUUUAGAUAAGGCCUCAACCACAAUAUUAAACAGAAAAGGUGAGUAAGGGUCGCCUUGUUGUACCCCCUUGUUACUCUCGAAGUAGGGGCCAACCUCAAUGUUAAGUUUGAUGCUCACAAUACCAUUGCUAAGAAUUUUACUAACCCAACCACACCAAGUAGGGCCAAAGCCUCGAUUUCUGUGAUAUUCGAGAAGGAAGUCCCAAUUGAUCUUGUCAUAGGCUUUUUCAAAGUCUAGCUUCAGGACUAUGCCCACUUUUUCUUGCGCUGCAUGUGGUGAAGGACCUCAUGAAGGGCGAGGAUCCCAUCCAUAAUGUUCCUAUGCUUGAUGAAAGCAUUUUGAUGCUUGCUAAUGAGCUUAUCAGCAAAAACAACAACCCUGUUGUCGAGGACUUUUAUGAUAAGUUUAUAAGGGCAUCUAAGAAGACUAAUGGGGUGAUAUUGCUGAUUUUUUUUGCUCCGUUCAACUUAGAAAUCAACAUAAUCACCCCAUAGUUAAGAUGGGCCAUGUCCAAAGUGUUAUGAUGUAAGGCUUCAAAAAGAUGCAUAAUGUCAGAUUUAACAAACUCCCAACACUGGUUGUAAAAUUCUGCUGGAAUAUUGUUCGGGCCAAGGGCUCUAUUAAUGUCCAUAUCAAAUAGGGCUUUUACACCCCCCCUCAAAGAAGGUGCUUGUUAGGAGAACGUUAUCUUCACACUACUAAGGAAAACCCUACUAGUAGCGCUGGAAAUAUGCGUAGCAGUAGCGCUGGGUCGAGCGCUACUGCUAUCGCGCUACAGCUAAAUCCUAGUAGUAGCGCACGUAUGGGCAGCGCUACUGGUAAGUAGUAUUAGCAGUAGCGCUUGCGUGCCCAGCGCUACUGCUAACUAUAGUAGUAGCGUUUGCCCAUAGUAAGCGCUGCUGCUAAGCAGCGCUACUGGUAAGUAUUUACCAGCGCUACUGCUAAAUUUUGCUGCUUUCACAGCUUUGCACCCUCUACGUAUUUUUGAUGUAUCUAUUCAGAUUCUAUACAAUAGUUUCAUCACAUCAUAUUAAACAUACACCAUUCUCACAUAUCAUAGACAUACAAUAGUCUCGUCAUACCAUCAUCAUCAUCAUCAUUCAACACAAAAUAUCAUCAGAUAAUCUCGAAAAUAGCGAUACAUAAGUGCGAUCAUGUCAUGUCUCGAAUAAGUGCAACUGCAUGGUCAUGACACACCCACAAGUUUCAUCAUCUCUAUCUACAACAUGAUGUACAAGAGAAGAGCGAUCAGCAUGAGGAAGAGCGCGACUAUGUAGUACCGACGGUCCCGCCCCUGCUCAUGUUGGAGUGUCCACCUGAAGUAACUACUUUCCGCUUCGGCUCUGGUGUCGAACCCUCUGUGGGUAGCACCCGGGUACCUGUGCACCUGGGCCUGAGCGGCUGGCCAGUGGUCGUAGACUCCUGGAACCCUCCCAACGUACACGACGUAGUAGUGCUUCGCCAUCUCUGAUCUAGGUACCUGCAUCGUGAGUUGUUGAUUUGAACGAUAAUAUGCAACAUAAUGUACUUAAAAAAACAAAGAAGCAUGAUUAUCAAAAAAAAAGUAACCAAUAGUAAACAUAAAUGACGAAGUUCCUCAUAACCAAACUAAUUAACUAGAACGAUCUACGCUAGUUCAGGACCACGGUUUAGUUACAUCACAUAGUUCCGCCGUGCAUAAUUUCAAAGUUUUGCCAUAGAAAGACAGUAGUGAUAAGGCACGCUAGUUCAGGACCACGGUUUAGUUACAUCACAUUGUCAUUGACAAUCAGUCGUUCAGGUCCUCGUCCCAAUCUUCAUAGUCAGCGAGGACGCACCUGAGCUUCGUGAAUGGGUUCAUGUCCAGACAUUGAGCUUCUAGAAGUGCUCGGACAUCAACCCGCGUGAUUGCCCCAUUGUAGAACAUCCCCGUUGGUUCGGGGACUUGCUUCAUGAUCACUUGGGAUAGUUCACACUGUACGUGAUAAAACUCAGCUCGGAUUCGAUGAUCCGGUGUCGUUCCUAUGCUUGUGGCCCAGCUGACAAUCUCGGCAUCUUCGGUAGUAGCUGACAUGCGAAGGCGUUGAUUAUCCCUCCUGAACUCCAUCAGGUGAUGCAUGAGGUAGAAUCCAUCAGCCGUACUGUUGUUCGGUUGCUGGAUGCAGCAGAAGUCGGUCUUAUGGCCGAAAGCCGAUGCUUUAUUCCUGGUCUUUUUCACCUUGAUAUAUCCACCAGUCAGGCUGAAGGUCCACACGGCAGAGUCUAGAACACUCUUUACAUGCGUGUAAUCCUUUUUCUUGAGGUUCUUCGACAAGUCCAAGUAGAUAGCAUGGGAGUAUUCCGGGUACAGAACGGUGAGGACAACGCCGCCUGAUGACCCACAAGUAUAGGGGAUCUAUCACAAUCCUUUUGAUAAGUAAGAGUGUCGAACCCAAUGAGGAGCAGAAGGAUCUGACAAGUGGUUUUCAGCAAGGUAAUAUCUGUAGGCACUGAAAUUAUCGGUAACAAGUGGUUGUGUGGUGAGAUGAUUCGUAGCAAUUAGCAAGUAACAAAAGUAACAACGGUGCAGCAAAGUGGCCCAAUCCCUUUUGUAGCAAGGGACAAGCCUGGACAAAGUCUUAUAGGAGGAAAAACGCUCCCGAGGACACACGGGAAUUUCUGUCAUGCUAGUUUUCAUCAUGUUCAUAUGAUUCACGUUCGUUACUUUGAUAGUUUGAUAUGUGGGUGGACCGGCGCUUGGGUACUGCCCUUACUUGGACAAGCAUCCCACUUAUGAUUAACCCCUCUCGGAAGCAUCCGCAACUACAAAAGAAGAAUUAAGACAAAGUCUAACCAUAACAUUAAACUAGUGGAUCCAAAUCAGCCCCUUACGAAGCAACGCAUAAACUAGGGUUUAAGCUUCUGUCACUCUAGCAACCCAUCAUCUACUUACUACUUCCCAAUGCCUUCCUCUAGGCCCAAAUAAUGGUGAAGUGUUAUGUAGUCGACGUUCACAUAACACCGCUAGAGGAAAAACAACAUACAACACAUCAAAAUAUCGAACGAAUACCAAAUUCACAUGACUACCUAUAGCAUGAUGUUACUUCUCAAACAACAACGCCAAAAAUUGACACGUUGAUGGAGACUUGCUUGCGUCGGUUUUACCCUUGAAGAGGAAAGGGUGAUGCAGCACAGGUGCAGUAAGUAUUUCCCUCAGUUUGAGAACCAAGGUAUCAAUCCAGAAGGAGAAUCUCGUCACGUCCAGAGUACCUGCACAAACACAAAGAGCUUGCACCCAACGCUAUAAAGGGGUUGUCAAUCCCUUCAAGAUUGAUUGCAAAGUGAGAUCUGAAGGUGGAAAGUGCAACGAAGAAAAAGUGUAAGGCUGAAAAUAUGGUGUGGAGUAGACCCGGGGGCCAUAGUGUUCACUAGAGGCUUCUCUCAAAAUAGAAAAUAUUACAGUGGGUUAACAAAUUACUGUCGAGCAAUUGAUAGAACCGCGCAAAGUCAUGACGAUAUCUAAGGCAAUGAUCAUACAUAUAGGCAUCACGUCCGAGACAAGUAGACCGAUACUUUCUGCAUCUACUACUAUUACUCCACACAUCGAUCGCUAUCCAGCAUGCAUCUAGUGUAUUGAGUUCAUGACGAACUGAGUAACGCCUUAAGCAAGAUGACAUGAUGUAGAGGGAUAAUCUCAAACCAAUGAUGAAAACCCCAUCUUUUUACCCUUGAUGGCAAAAACACGAUGCGUGCCUCGCUACCCCUUCUGUCAAUGGGUGAGGUCACCGCAUGGUAUGAACCCAAAAGCAAGCACUUCUCCCAUUGCAAGAAUUAUAGAUCUAGUUGGCCAGACAAAACCCACAACUCGAAGAGAAUUACAAGGAUAUGAAAUCAUGCAUAAGAGAGAUCAAAAGAAACUCAAAUAAGAUUCAUAGAUAAUCUGAUCAUAAAUCCACAAUUCAUCGGAUCUCGACAAACACACCGCAAAAGAAGAUUACAUCGGAUAGAUCUCCAUGAAGAUCAUGGAGAACUUUGUAUUGAAGAUCCAAGAGAGAGAAGAAGCCAUCUAGCUACUAGCUAUGGACCCGUAGGUCUAUGGUGAACUACUCACGUAUCAUUGGAGAAGUCAUGGUGUUGAUGAAGAAGCCCUCCGUGUUCGAAUCCCCCUCCGGCAGGGCACCAGGACGUGCCCCAGAUGGGAUCUUGCGGAGACAGAAGCUUGCGGCAGCGGAGAAGUACUUUCGAUGAUCUCCUAAUUUUUCUGGGAUUUUAGGGAAUUUAUAGGCGAAAGUCCUAGGGCAGAGGUGGCCCAGGGAGCCCACAAGCCUGCGAGGCGCGGCCCUCCUGGCCGCGGCUAGGGGGCUUGUGGGGUCCCUGCAGGCCCCCUGCCCUGAUUCUCAGGCUUCCCGAUCUUCUUUUGUUUCAGAAAAAAUCUUUUUGGCAGUUUCAUUCUGUUUGGACUCCGUUUAAAAUUCUCCUCUGAAAGGGGUCAAAAACAUGGAAAAAACAGAAACUGGCACUUGGCACUGAGUUAAUAAGUUAGUCCCAAAAAAUAUAUAAAAGGCAUGCAAAACAUCCAAAGUUUGACAAGAUAAUAGCAUGAAACCAUCAAAAAUUAUAGAUACGUUGGAGACGUAUCAAGCAUCCCCAAGCUUAACUCCUGCUCGUCCUCGAGUAGGGAAGGGAUAAAGAAUGAAUUUGUUAUGUGGAAUGCUACCUAGCAUAGUUGCCCUUUGCAACUUCUUUCAUGUGACAUGAGUGUUCAGAUCCGUGAGAUUCAAAACAAUAGUUUGCUAUUGACAUGAAAACAAUAAUACUUCAAGCAAACUAGCAAGGUAAUCAUGAACUUCCAAAAUAACAAGGACAAAAGAAAGUUGUCCCUACAAAAUCAUAUAGUCUGGCUAUGCUCUAUCAUCCUUGCACAACGAAUUUAAAUCAUGCACAUUACUUCAUCAUCACAACUAAUGUAAAUCAUGCACAACCCCGGUAUUGGCCAAGUAAUUGUUUUCGCACUCUUACUUUCUCAAACUUUUUAUAACUAUCACGCAAUACAUGAGCGUGAGCCAUGGAUAUAGCACUAUAGGUGGAAUAGAGUGUGGUGGUGGUUGUGAGACAAAAAGGGAGGAAAUGGCCACAUUGACUCGGCGUAUCAAAGGGCUAUGGAGAUGCCCAUUAAUAGAUAUCAAUGUGAAUGAGUAAGGAUUUCCAUACAAAGGAUGCACUAGAGCUAUAAGUAUGUGAAAGCUCAAAAGGUAAACUAGUGGGUGUGCAUCCAACUUGCUUACUCACGAAGACCUAUGGCAAUUUUGAGGAAGCCCAUCAUUGGAAUAUACAAGCCAAGUUAUAUGAUGAAGAUUCCCACUAGCAUAUGGUGGUGACGAAACGAGAGGCUCUCAAUCAUGAAGAACAUGGUGCUAUUAUGAAGCACAAGUGUGGAAAAAGAUAGUAGCAUUGUCCCUUCUCUCUUUUUCUCUCUUCUCUUUUUUUAUUUGGGCUCUUCGGCCUCUCUUUUUUUCUCUUUUCUCCUUUUUUUAUUAUUUUUGGGCUCUUUGGCCUCUUUUUUUUUAUUUCCUCACAUGGGACAAUGCUCUAAUAAUGAUGAUCAUCACACUUUUAUUUACUCACAGCUCAAAGCUUAGAAAUGACUCUAUAGGAAAUGCCUCCGGCAGUGUACCGGGAUGUGCAAUGAUCUAGCUUGGCGUAUGCCGUUGAAACAUCUCGCUAGCUAUCUUACGAUCAUGCAAUGGCAAUAUAAGAGUGACGGCACAAGUCAUGAGACAGAACGGUGGCAGUUGCAUGGCAAUAUAUCUCGGAAUGGCUAUGAAAAUGCCAUAGUAGGUAGAUAUGGUGGCUGUUUUGAGGAAGGCAUUUGGUGGGUUUGUGUACCGGCGAGAAUUGCACGACACUAGAGAGGCUAGCAAUGGUGGAAGGUGAACGUGCAUCUAUACCAUGGACUCACAUUAGUCAUGAAGAACUCACUUACUUGUUGUGAAAGUUUUUCUUAGUACUCGAAACAAAGUGCUAAACGCAUACUCCUAGGGGAAGGGUUGGUAGGUGUUAACCAUCGUGCGAUCCCGACCUCAACACAAAGGAUGACAAUCAAUAGAUCAAUUAUGCUCCGACUUCCUAACAUAGCUGUUCACCAUAUGUGCAUGCUACGGGAAUCACUAACUUCAACACAAGUAUUUCUAGAUUCACAACACCCUACUAACAUAACUUUUAAUAUUACCAAAUCCACGCCUAAAAAGUAAUUGAGAGGAAUCAAAACUUCUCUUUCUACUCAAUGCACAUGAAGAUGGAGGUUUUUGUAUCCUAUUUGGAUACCUAUCACCUUUGGGAAUACUUUCAUAGCAUAAGCCAACUACCAAAUCACGCACCGCCGUGCUCUAACAUAUCUAAGUGAAGCACAUAGAGCAAAAUUAUCUAGCUCAAAAGAUAUAAGUGAAGCACAAUGAGCAUUCUAGCAAAAUCACGAUGAGUGCAUGUCUCUCUCUAAAGGUGUGCAGCAAGGAUGAUUGUGACACAACAAAAAUAAAAGACUCCUAAGAUACAAGACGCUCCAAGAAAAACACAUAUCAUGUGGUGAAUACAAAUAUAGCUCCAAGUAAUGUUACCGAUGGAUUGAACACGAAAGAGGGGAUGCCUUCCCGGGGCAUCCCCAAGAUUAGGCUUUUUGGUGUCCUUGAAUUUGUCUUGGGAUGCCUUGGGCAUCCCCAAGAUUGAGCUCUUUCCACUCCUUAUCUCUUUGUCCAUGAGAACAUCACCCAAAACUAGAAAACUCCACAACACAAAAAUUAAACAGAAACUCGUGAUACAUUAGCACAAGAAAACAAACUACCACCUCUUUAUGUACUGUAGCAAUCUUGAUUUAUAUUUGUAUUGGUGUUGGACUACUGUAUUCUAACUUUUCCAUGGCUAGUAUCCCCCCGAUACUAUCCAUAGUUUCAUCAAAACAAGCAACCAACUCAACAAAACAGAAUCUGUCAAAAACAGACCAGUCUGUAGCAAUCUGUAUACUUCGUAUACUUCUGGUACCUCAAAAAUUCUAAAACAUUAUGACUGCCUGGGAAAAAGGCAUAUCAACCAGAAGCAAAAAAGAAUCAACUCAAAAGCUCUUUCUGAAUAAAAAUUAAAAAUCAUCUCGUGAGCGAAAAGUUUCUGUCUUCUUCCAGCAGGAUCAAACAACCAUCACCAAGACUAGUCAUAAAGGUUUUGCUUGGCUCAAACACAAAAAGAAACACAAAAGACACAAUCACAACAGAAUUAUGAUGGUGUGGACACAACAAAACAGAAAGCAAAAAGCAAAGAUAAAUUCAUUGGGUUGCCUCCCAACAAGCGCUAUUGUUUAACGCCCUUAGCUAGGCAUUGAUAAUUCAAUGAUGCUCACACAAAAGACAAGAACUGAAGCACAACGAGAGCAUCAUAAAGCAUGUGAAAAUCACAUCUAAGUUUAACAUACUUCCUAUGCAUAGGCAUUUUAUAGGGAAACAAAUUGGCAAGACAACCAAUAGUUACCAAAUGCAAGGAAGAAGAAAGAGACAAUAGCAAUCUCAACAUAACGAGAGGUAAUUUGGUAACAUGAAAGUUUCUACCACAAUAUUUUCCUCUCUCAUAGCAAUUACAUGUGGGAUCAUAAUCAAAUUCAACAAUAUAGCUAUCACAAAGGAUAUUCUUUUCAUGAUCCACAUGCAUGCAAAGUUGACGCUCUNNNNNNNNNNNNNNNNNNNNNNNNNNNNNNNNNNNNNNNACGCUCUUCAAAAAUAGAGGGAUUAUCAUCAACUAAAGUCAUGAUUUCUCCAAACCCACUUUCAGUAAUAUUGCAAAUAUCAUAUUCAUCAUGAGGCUUAAUUUUUUUUUCAAGAUCAUAAGAGAAAUCAUUACCCCAAUCAUGAUCAUUGCAACAAGUAGUAGACAUAGCAAAACUAGCAUCCCCAAGCUUAGGGUUUUGCAUAUUUUUAGCAUGAUUGACACUAAUAGGAUUUAUAGUGAAACCAUUGCAAUCAUGCUUUUCAUUCAAGGAGCCCUCGUGAAUCACUUUAUAAAUUUCUUCAUCACGAUUUUUAGAUUCACGCAUCUCAAGCAAAACUCCAUAGAGAAAGUCAAGUGCACUCAACUCACUAGCAAUUGGUUCCACAUAAGUGGAUCUCUUAAAGAGAUUAGCAAGUGGGUGAGGAUCCAUAUCAAUAGAUUUUCAGCAAGCGAAGAUGCAAGCAUAUUGAAGGCAGAUAGCACACAAGCAAAGGAAAGGAAAACGAAAAAGGCAAAUAUUUUUUUGUAAAUUUUUGCUUUUCAGAAGUGGGGGAGAGGAAAACGAGAGGCAAAAAAGGUAAAUGCAAGAGAUGAGUUUGCGACACUUACUUGGGUGAGUUCUUGACUUGAUCCUUCCCGGCAACGGCGCCACAAAUUCUUCUUGCUACUUCUCAAAGAACAACACCAAAAAUUGACACGUUGACGGAGACUUGCUUGCGUCGGUUUUUCCCUUGAAGAGGAAAGGGUGAUGCAACACAGGAGCAGUAAGUAUUUCCCUCAGUUUGAGAACCAAGGUAUCAAUACAGUAGGAGAAUCUCGUCAAGUCCAGAGUACCUGCACAAACACAAAGAGCUUGCACCCAACGCUAUAAAGGGGUUGUCAAUCCCUUCAAGAUUGAUUGCAAAGUGAGAUCUGAAGGUGGAAAGUGCAACGAAGAAAAAGUGUAAGGCUGAAAAUAUGGUGUGGAGUAGACCCGGGGGCCAUAGUGUUCACUAGAGGCUUCUCUCAAAAUAGAAAAUAUUACAGUGGGUUAACAAAUUACUGUCGAGCAAUUGAUAGAACCGCGCAAAGUCAUGACGAUAUCUAAGGCAAUGAUCAUACAUAUAGGUAUCACGUCCGAGACAAGUAGACCGAUACUUUCUGCAUCUACUACUAUUACUCGACACAUCGACCGCUAUCGAGCAUGCAUCUAGUGUAUUGAGUUCAUGACGAACAGAGUAAUGCCUUAAGCAAGAUUACAUGAUGUAGAGGGAUAACCUCAAACCAAUGAUGAAAACCCCAUCUUUUUACCCUUGAUGGCAAGAACAUGAUGCGUGCCUCGCUACCCCUUCUGUCACUGGGUGAGGUCACCGCAUGGUAUGAACCCAAAACCAAGCACUUCUCCCAUUGCAAGAAUUAUAGAUCUAGUUGGCCAGACAAAACCCACAACUCGAAGAGAAUUACAAGGAUAUGAAAUCAUGCAUAAGAGAGAUCAGAAGAAACUCAAAUAAGAUUCAUAGAUAAUCUGAUCAUAAAUCCACAAUUCAUUCGAUCUCGACAAACACACCGCUAAAGAAAAUUACAUCGGAUAGAUCUCCAUGAAGAUCAUGGAGAACUUUGUAUUAAAGAUCCAAGAGAGAGAAGAAGCCAUCCAGCUACUAGCUAUGGACCCGUAGGUCUAUGGUGAACUACUCACGCAUCAUUGGAGAGGUCAUGGUGUUGAUGAAGAAGCCCUCCGUGUCCGAAUCCCCCCUCCGGCAGGGAACCAGAACGUGCCCCAGAUGGGAUCUUGCGGAGACAGAAGCUUGCGGCGGCGGAAAAGUACUUUCGAUGAUCUCCUGAUUUUUUCUGGGAUUUUAGGGAAUUUAUAGGCGAAAGUCCUAGGGCAGAGGUGGCCCAGGGAGCCCACGAGCUUGCGAGGCACGCACCCUGGCCGCGGCUAGGGGGCUUGUGGGGUCCCUGCAGGCCCCGUGCCCUGAUUCUCAGGCUUCCCGAUCUUCUUGUGUUUCGAAAAAAAUCUUUUUGGCAGUUUCGUUCCGUUUGGACUCCUUUAAAAUCCUCCUCUCAAAGGGGUCAAAAACAUGGAAAAAACAGGAACUCGCACUUGGCACUGAGUUAAUAAGUUAGUCCCAAAAAAUAUAUAAAAGGCAUGCAAAACAUCCAAAGUUUGACAAGAUAAUAGCACGAAACCAUCAAAAAUUAUAGAUACGAUCGAGUCGUAUCACAUGACUUAUCCCAUGUCCUCAGGAACAAAAGUAUCUACUCACAAAGCAUAAUCAUAUUCAUGACCAGAGAGGUAAUGAGUAGCAUCAAAGAUCUGAACAUAAACUCUUCCACCAAGUAAUCCAAUUAGCAUCAACUAGAAAGAGUAAUUAACACUACUAGCAACCUUACAAGUACCAACCGGAGUCGCGAGACGGAGAUUGUUUACAAGUGAUGAACUAGGGUUUGGAGAUGAGAUGGUGCUGAUUAAGAUAUUGAUGGUGAUGAGUCCCCUCCGAUGAGAGGAGUAUUGGUGAUGACGAUGGCAACGAUUUCCCCCUCCGGGAGGGAAGUUUCCCCGGCAGGAUCGUCCUGCCGGAGCUCUAGAUUGGUUCUGCUCAAGUGUCGCCUCGUGGCGGCGGCGAAUCCUUCAAAAAGCCUCCUCUUGAUUUUUUCUAGACCGAAACCCUUCUUGUAGCAAAAGAAGGGGGCCAGUGGGCCAGCAGGGAGCCCAAAAGCCCCCUAGGCGCGGCCAGGGGGGUGGCCGCGCCUUGCAGGCUUGUGGCCACGUGCUGGCACCCCUCUGGCACUUCUUCGGCCCAGUAUUUUUUAUAAAUCCCAAAAAAAAUCCACGUUGAUUUUCACGGCUUUUGGAGUUGCGCAGAAUAGGCAUCUCAAACUUGCUCCUUUUUCAGGCCAGAAUUCCAGCUGUCGGCAUUCUCCCUCUUCAUGCAAACCUUGCAAAAUAAGAUAGAAAAGGCAUAAGUAUUGUACCGUGAAGUGAAAUAAUAGCCCAAAAAGCGAUGAAUAUCAACAUGAAAGCAUGAUGCAAAAUGGACGUAUCACCGCCCCCGCUGCGCAAAUUAAGUACCCCUCAAAUUAGCCUCCAUGCUUGCAAAGGAAUGGAACAUGUACGAAAGGAUAUGCGCGGAUGACUUACAAGGGAUGAUAAGACAAGAGAAUCGCUUCCUUGUCCUUAUUAGCGAUCAUGAAAUCGUCGAGGUACUUGCUCGCAUAGUCACGGUGCUCUUUGCAAACUCCCAAGAAGUCCUCGUGCAUAUAGUAUGGGUCCACGACGCAGAUAUAUUUGAUGCUCUCCAUAUUGAUGAUGGAGUUGAGAUACAGCGCAUACAUGCGGAUGAACUGGAAAUCCAGCUUGGUCAUGUGGAACAUGUUGUAGAUGUAGUCAAAUCGCAGGAGGAACUGAUUCGCGGGCCAGGUAUCGACGUACAUCUUCCCACCCGGCGCAUGAGCCGCGUAAAGCGGGUAUCUUGGCUGUUUUGCGGCAAGAAGGUUUUUCUCUGUGGCCAACACAUCUUCAUGGAGGCUCUUUAGAUCAUUGUUCAGUAUGUGAUCUAGCGCUUUGGCAGGUAGGAUCGGCUCGCCGGCGAUGUGGACACGUGGCUUACCUUCGACAGGUAUUCUGUCUACCACCAGGGGUUUCAGAGGCGGCUGGCUGCUUGAAGCACCUAUGGCGCCUUUAGGUCUCUUGGUUGGUCUCUUCCUUUGCUUCUUGGGGGUGGCGGUAGUGAGCCCACCAUACCUUCCCUAACCUCCACCCAAGUGUCCUCGGGCUAAACAGUGGACGGGCCUCAGGGGGUUGCUGGGUAGAGGCGGCAUCUGGAGGCGUCUCCUGCGAGGAUGUCUUGAAGAGAGACCUUUUGCAUUCCGCCUUAGGACGUUCCAGCUCCGGCAAAUGAGGCAUCAUCAAGUCAUCAUCUCCACGGUCAUAGCCUGAGUCUUCGGUGUCCUGAGCCAUCAAUCCAUCAUAGGCGGUAUUAAAAUACCAGUUCGGGUCCUCAUCAUCAUCCUCCGUGUCAUCAUCAACAUUUGCUUCUUUGACAGUGGGGGCGACAUGAUCUGGCACUAAUGGAGGCUCUCCCUCGCGUCGUACGCUACCAUGAUCCUCCACGACAGGUGAAGGUAAUUUGGUAGGUGGGGUGGUGUUCAUACCUUCUUUAAAACAUGGCGUUGGCGUGAUAGUGGGCUCCUCGAGACGAAUAAGAGACUUAGGCCAAGUCAAGAACCAGUUCUUGCAUCCACCAAUAAGCGUAGGGGUCUCGUUGUCACCGGCUGGUAUCGGAGGAGGCAAAUUCUCGAAGCCCGCUAAGACACAGGCCACGUUAACCUUGAAGACACCAUCGGACAUCUGUCGAUUGUGUAAGAUGGGGUCCUUCGGCUUCAUGAUGGUUGCCUUUCCCAUAGCCACCUUCAGGCCCUUGAUGUCGUAGAGUAGGGUGCACGAGGUGUCAUCGACCUACGAAGGGGAAAUGUUUGCGACAUCAAACAUCUGAAAGGCAACUGAAACAGAAGACUAUAGACAUGCUGGUGAAAAGGGUAUGAUGCGUAAUUACCGUGAGGGCGUCGAGCUCAGCCAGCGAGGAAGGCCCGCCGAGCAUGCCAGAGACGGAGGUCGAGCUGCUAUGAACAGGAAUGGGACCUUUUGCGGUUGCUUGGGCAUGUGUUGGUGCUGUGGUGUGAUGACCCACAAGUAUAGGGGAUCAAUCGUAGUCCUUUCGAUAAGUAAGAGUGUCGAACCCAACGAGGAGCAGAAGGCUCUGAUAAAUGGUUUUCAGCAAGGUAAUAACUGCAAGCACUGAAAGUAGCGGUAACAAGUGAUGGUGUAGUGAGGUGAAACGUAGCAGGUGAAAAGUAACAAGUAACAAGUAAUAGCAACGGUGCAGCAAAGUGGCCCAAUCCCUUUUGUAGCAAGGGACAAGCCUGAACAAAGUCUUACAAGAGGAAAAACGCUGCCGAGGACACACGGGAAUUUCUGUCAUGCUAGUUUCAUCAUGUUCAUAUGAUUCGCGUUCGUUACUUUGAUAGUUUGAUAUGUGGGUGGACCGGCGCUUGGGUACUGCCCUUACUAGGGAAAGCAUCUCACUUAUGAUUAACCCCUCUCGCAAGCAUCCGCAACUACGAAAGAAGAAUUAAGACAAAGUCUAACCAUAGCAUUAAACUAGUGGAUCCAAAUCAGCCCCUUACGAAGCAACACAUAAACUAGGGUUUAAGCUUCUCUCACUCUAGCAACCCAUCAUCUACUUACUACUUCCCAAUGCCUUCUUCUAGGCCCAAAUAAUGGUGAAGUGUUAUGUAGUCAACGUUCACAUAACACCACUAGAGGAAAAACAACAUACAACAUAUCAAAAUACCGAACGAAUACCAAAUUCACAUGACUAUUAUUAGCAUGACUUAUCCCAUGUCCUCAGGAACAAAAGUAACUACUCACAAAGCAUAAUCAUAAUCAUGAUCAGAGGUGUAAUGAGUAGCAUCAAGGAUCUGAACAUAAACUCUUCCACCAAAUAAUCCAACUAGCAUCAACUACAAAGAGUAAUCAACACUACUAGCAACCUUACGGGUACCAAUCGGCGUCGCGAGACGGCGAUUGGUUACAAGAGAUAGACUAGGGUUUGGAUAGGAGAUGGUGCUGAUGAAGAUGUUGAUGGAGAUGACUCCCCUCCGACUAGAGGAGUGUUGGUGAUGACGAUGGCGACGAUUUCCUCCUCCGGGAGGGAAGUUUCCCCAACAGGAUCAUCUUGCCGGAGCUCUAGAUUGGUUCUGCUCAAGUUCCGCCUCGUGGCGGCGGCGCCUCCUCGAAAAAGCUCCGCCUUGAUUUUUUUCCGGACGAAACCCUUCAUAUAGCAGAAGAGGGGGGCCAGUGGGCCACCAGGGUGCCCACAAGCCCUGUAGCCGCGACCAGGGGGGCAGGACGCGGCUACCAGGCUUGUGGGCCCCUGGCAGCUCCCCUCUGGCACUUCUUUCGCCCAGUAUUUUUUAUAUAUUCCCAAAAAAUUCCACGUUGAUUUUCAGGGCAUUUGGAGUUGUGCAGAAUAGAGGACUCAGACUUUCUCCUUUUCCAGUCCAGAAUUCCAGCUGCCGGUAUUCUUCCUCUUCAGAUAAACCUUGCAAAAUAAGAGAGAAAAGGCAUAAGUAUGGUACCACAAAGUAUAAUAAUAGUCCAUAAAGCGAUAAAUAUCAACAUGAAAGCAUGAUGCAAAAUGGACAUAUCAACUCCCCCAAGCUUAAACCUCGCUUGUCCUCAAGCGAAAACCAACAUCCAUAAACAUGUCCACAUGUUUAGGGAUGAAGGUGUCGAUAAAACAUAAUACGGACAAGAGGGCAUCAUGAUCGCACAUAAAACAACAAUACAUCAUAAAGAUUCUUAUGGGAAAGUAACAAUUCCUUCACAAAGCAAAGUAUGAAUCAAAAACCUUACCGAGAAGUAGCCAACAACAGUCCAUAGUCAUUGAAGCAAUUGCAAUUUAUCGUAACAUCAGAAAGAGUCAAAUAAGAGCUUGUAAAGCAAAUCCACAUACUCAAUCAUCUCUUUUGUUUUCCACAAUUGUUACAACUCACGUGGUACUCAUGGUAUCAAAGUUUCAGUUGGACACAGAGAAAGAUAGGGGCUUAUAAUUUUGUGUCCCAACCAUUUACCUCAAGGGUAAAGUCAACAAUAGUAAAGCAUAAGUACUCUCUCCAAGUUGAUAUAUGAAUAUAGAUAUUUCCCUAGCAUAUGAGGUUCACCAAGAUGAAGACGGAAUAGGGAAUUGGUGUUGAUCACCAUGACUCUCACAAGGACAAAAGUAAAUGUACAAGAUAGGCCCUUCGCAGAGGGAAGCAUAGGUUGUCAUGCGCUUUUAAGGUUUGGAUAUACGACCUCUUAGUGUAAAGGAACGUCACUUUAUAUUGCCCCCUGUGAUAAAGAACUUUAUUAUGCAGUCUGUCGCUUUUAUGUCUUCCUCAUCACAGGUUCGUACAAAGCUUAUUUUCCACACACUAAUAAAUCAUACAUACUUUAGAUAGCAACUUUUUAUUGCUUGCACCGAUGACAACUUACUUGAAGGAUCUUACGCAAUCCAUAGGUAGGUAUGGUGGACACUCAUGGCAAAACUGAUUUGAAGGUUUAUGGAUGCACAAGUAGUAUCUCUACUUAGUGCGGGAGGUUUUGGCUAAUAUGAGGUGGGAGCAAUCGUCACAUGCUAAGGGAUCUCUAGAUAUAUAACAUUAUUUGGAAUCAAGCAAACACAAUUCAUUAUGUUGUCUUCCUUGUCCAACAUCUAGUUCUAAGCAUGUAAUAGUUUGGUGAGUGCUCACAAUUAUAGAAAGUGUCUAAGAUGAUAUAUUUAUAUGUGAACCUCUCUUUCCUUAUUACUUCUUAUUAAUUGCAACAAUGAAUGGGGUCUAUGUUGGUCUAUUCUCAACAAGUUUCAAUCAUCAUACUUGUUAUAUGUGAAGCUAUCACUUUCCAUAAGAUCAUCUCAUGAUCUUUCAUGCUAUCGUUCUUUUCAUACUUUUGAUCACGGCACUAAACAAAGGCCUUGACUAAGACACUCUUUAUUAUAUGGUUCACGAGAAAGAAUACAUCGGGGUGACACAAAGAAAAACUCAAGACUAAAACACUAAGACUUAUCCCACUAAGAGAAGAAAUAAAAACUGAAAAGUAAAGAACUAAAACAAAGGUAAAAGCAAAAGAUAUAAAGGUGAUACGAUACCAGGGCAACUCCUGCAAGAUUGGCACAAGCCAAGGGAGUUGCCCAUACCAAUGCUCAGUUGUCUUCCUUUGGUGGUGGUGGUGGAGGAGUUGCAACAUGAGUUUGAUCCUCCGCCUUCCAAGGCAUAGGUGCUCCAUCAUGGCAGGAUGAACGAGUCGCCGGAAUCCUCAAAUCUGCAGCCAACCGUAUUGAUUUAAAUCUAUACUCAUACUCACAGUUUUGGUUCUGCGGGUCAUAGAUCUGGCCCUGGAGUUGAUCAACCCUGUCAUAGAGCCUGGAGAGGUGCUUCCCAAUGUCAUUGGCAUCCAUCUUGUGCUUGUUGGUGAACUCCGUGAUCAUCAUGUGGUUGGCGUUGAGUCCGCGCUCCACCAUCCCUUGGCACUUGAAGACUUGUUGCUCCAUUGCUUCGAGCCUCGUCUCCAGGCUUCCGGUCUUCUUAGGCCCCUCAACAUCAUGGAUGUGCAACAUCCCCUCACGCAUCUCAAUAGAUUGACGGUGUUGCAGCACUUCCGUGAGGUAGGGAUUGAUGACCUUCUCGAAGAUCUUGUCCUUAGGAGCUUUUGAGGAAGUCAUGACGAUCUAGAUUUGCAACAGAAACAGGCUCGAAACGAAAAACAGAGGAAAACUGCGCGAUACGGAGAUCAAAACCCUCGGGCGCAUAUAUAAUGAUUUUUUCUGGACCAGAAGGAGUGCUCCGCAAGAAAACGGAGUACGGGAGGCACACGAGGUGCCCAGAAGCCCUGUAGCCGCGACCAGGGGGGCCGCGGCUACCAAGCUUGUGGCCGCCUCGUGCGCUCUCCGGACUGCUUUUUAUUUUUCUAUUUUUCCAUAAAUUCCAAAACGGAGAAAAUUUCCUACUGGAAAAGUUCUGGAGUCCAAUUACUUACCAAAAACACAUACCUCUUCGUUUUCAGAGUCUGAAACAGGCUGAUAAACAUCCCUUAUGUACUCCUCUGGAGUUAUGAUAUUGAUGAUAUUGGUCUCAACAUUUAUGGGAGUACCAGAGAUAUAAUGCUUGAUUCUUUGCCCAUUUACCACUCUCGGAAAAUUACCUUCCAUGUUGUUGAUUUUUAUGGCACCGGAACGAUAUACUUCCUCGACAACGUAGGGACCUUCCCAUUUAGAGAGAAGCUUGCCCGCGAAGAAUCUUAAGCGAGAAUUGUAUAGCAGGACAUAAUCACCUACAUUGAACUCACGGUUCUGUAUUCUUUGCCCGAUGGAACUCGGGAAGGGUCCCAUAUAAUCAAAGCCCCAGACAUCAAACGGUUCAAUGACAAGUGAAUAGUUCAUAGGCAUUUCCUGACGCUCACUGAUGUUCCCUAUUCUUUGGCAUUCGUCACAAGACAAGAUAAACUUACGUGCAUCCUUGAAGAGAGUGGGCCAAUAGAAACCUGAUUGCAAUACCUUAUGAGCAGUUCUAUCUCCAGCAUGGUGUCCUCCGUAGGCUUCAGAAUGACACUUCUGCAGGAUGUGUCCCUAUUCAUGUUCAUGCACACAACGUCUAAUAACACCAACUACUCCUUCCUUAUAAAGGUGAGCAUCAUCCCAAAAGUAGUGUCUCAAAUCAAAGAAGAAUUUCUUCUUUUGCUGAUAGGUGAAACUGGGUGGUAUGUAUUUGGCUACGAUAUAAUUUGCGUAAUCAGCAUACCACGGUGCACUAUGUGAAGUGCGGAUCACAGUUAAUUGCUCAUCAGGGAAGCUAUCAUCAAUAGGUCGUGGGUCAUCAAGUACAUUCUCUAGCCUAGACAAGUUAUCUGCUACAGGGUUAUCAGCACCCUUUCGGUCAACGACGUGCAAAUCAAAUUCCUGUAGCAGGAGAACCCAUCUGAUCAGCCUAGGCUUAGCGUCCUUCUUCUCCAUAAGGUAUUUAAAAGCAGCAUGAUCAGAGUGAAUAGUGACUUUGGAAUCAACUAUAUAAGAUCUAAACUUUUCACAUGCAAACACGACUGCUAAAAACUCCUUUUCUGUAGUGGCAUAGUUUCUUUGGGCAUUGUCUAGAGUUUUACUAGCGUAGUGAAUAACAUUCAACUUCUGGUCAACUCUUUGUCCUAGAACAGCACCAACAGCAUAAUCACUGGCGUCACACAUGAUUUCAAAGGGCAAGUUCCAGUCAGGUGGUUGAACAAUAGGUGCGGUUAUCAAAGCCUUCUUAAGUAUUUCGAAAGCUUCCUCACAAUCCUCAUAAAAAAAGGAACAUCCUUCUGCAAGAGGUUGGUAAGAGGCCUAGAAAUCUUAGAGAAGUAUUUAAUGAACCUUCUAUAGAAACCAGCAUGACCUAGGAAACUUUGUAUACCUCUGAUAUCUGUGGGGCAAGGCAUUUUCUCAAUUGCAUCAACCUUAGCCUUAUCAACUUCAAUGCCUCUUUCAGAAAUUUUGUGUCCUAAGACGAUGCCUUCAUUAACCAUAAAGUGGCACUUCUCCCAAUUAAAGACGAGGUUGGUAUCUUUGCAUCUCUGUAAGACUCGAUCAAGGUUGCUGAGGCAAUCAUCAAAGGAAGACCCGUAAACGGAGAAGUCAUCCAUGAAAACCUCGACAAUCUUUUCACAAAAGUCAGAGAAUAUAGCCAUCAUACAUCUUUGAAAGGUGGCAGGUGCAUUGCAUAAGCCAAAGGGCAUACGUCUAUAAGCAAAGGUACCGAAGGGGCAGGUGAAAGUGGUUUUCUCCUGAUCAGAUUGUGCAACAGGUAUUUGCGAGAAACCUGAAUAACCGUCAUGAAAGCAGAAGUGUGUGUGUUUGGAUAGCCUUUCUAGCAUUUGGGCGAUAAACGACAAAGGAUAAUGGUCUUUCCUGGUUGCCUUGUUUAGUUUCCGGAAAUCUAUCACCAUCCUAUAGCCAGUAAUAAUCCUUUGUGGGAUUAAUUCAUUCUUAUCAUUAGGGACAACGGUCAUGCCUCCCUUCUUAGGAACGCAAUGUACCGGACUCACCCAAUCACUUUGAGCAACAUGAUAAAUGAUUCCUGCUUCCAGAAGCUUUAAUAUUUCUUUUCUCACGACUUCUUUCAUCUUAGGAUUCAAUCUCCUUUGAUGAUCAACAACUGGUUUGAAGUCAGCAUCAGUUUUAAUCUUGUGCUGGCAUAGAGUCGGACUAAUGCCCUUAAGAUCAUCAAGAGUAUAUCCAAUAGCAGCACGGUGCUUCUUCAGAGUUUUUAGUAACUUCUUUUCUUCAUGCUCUGAGAGGAGAGCACUAAUAAUAAUAGGAUAUAUCUCCUUCUCAUCAAGAUAGGCAUACUUAAGAGUAUCAGGCAACUGUUUAAGCUCGAACAUGGGAUCGCCCUUCGGUGGGGAGGAUCCCCUAGCAGUUCAACAGGCAAAUUAUUCUUGAUAAUAGGAUAUUGUUCUAAGACAAUAUUAUCUAUCUCAUCUCUUUCAUCCAUAUGAAUAUCAUUUUCAUGCUCAAGUAGAUAUUUCUCUAAAGGAUCCAUAGGAGGUACGGCAAUAGGGGCAAGAGCAAUGAUUUCAUCCCUACCAGACGACUCUUUUUCAGGGGUUUGUCUUCCAAACUUGGAGAAGUUAAAUUCAUGAGACAGACCAUCGAAACUAACAGUGAGAGUCUGCUUAAUGCAAUCAAUGUGAGCAUCGACAGUGUUGAGAAAGGGUCUACCAAAUAUGAUGGGACAAAAGCUAUCUUGUGCAGUACCAAGGACGAGGAAAUCAGUAGGAUACUUCGUCUUACCACACAGGACUUCUACGUCUCUCACAAUUCCGAGAGGGCAGAUAGUGUCUCUAUUAGCUAGCGUAAUAGUGACAUCAAUGGGUUCUAACUCAGCAGGUGCAAUCUCAUCUUUGAUUUCAUCAUAUAGGGAACGGGGUAUUGCACUAACACUAGCUCCCAUAUCACAUAAACCAUGGUAACAGUGAUCUCCUAUAUUGACAGAAACAACGGGCAGGCCAACUACAGGUCCGUAUUUGUCUUUCGCGUGAGGUUUAGCAAUUCUAGCGGAGUCCUCACAGAAUUUGAUAACAUGCCCGUCUAUGUCUUCGGCUAAGAGAUCUUUGAUAAUAGCAACACUAGGUUCAACUCUAAUUUCCUCAGGGGGUGCAAGUGGUCUAAUGUAACCCCUACGUAUCACGGUUGGAGCUUUAGAAUAAUCCUUUUUCCUAGCAGGGUAAGGUGGUUUCUCGUUGUAGGCACAAGGAACAACAGGAUCACUAAAAGCAAUGACUUUCUCCUCAACUAGUUUGGUUUUGACUAUGUUGCUUUCUGCAGGAGGAUGAUACUUAAACCACUUCUCUUUGGGAAGAUCAACAUGAGAAGUAAAGGAUUCACAUAGAGAAGCUACUAUCUCAGAGUCAAGUCCAUACUUAGCGCUAAAAUCUCUAGAAGUGUUUGUUUCAACAAAAGAUUUAACGCAAUCAAACUGGAAAUUCAUACCUGACUCCUUACCUUCUUCCAGCUCCCAAUCUUCAGAGUUACAUUUGAUUCUUUCCAAUAAAUUCCACUUGUGGUCAAUAUCCUUCUUCAUAAAAGAACCGGUACAAGAAGUGUCAAGCAUGGUACGAUCUUCAUGAGAAAGCCGAGCAUAAAAGUUUUGAGUGAUAAUUUCUCUCGAGAGAUCAUGAUUGGGGCAUGAAUAUAGCAUUGAUUUAAGCCUCCCCCCAAGCUUGAGCUAUGCAUUCCCUGUGAUGAGGCCAAAAGUUAUAAAUAUAAUUCCGAUCACGAUGUACUAAAUGCAUAUGAUAGAACUUUUGAUGAAAUUCCAAUUUCAACCGAUUGUAGUCCCAUGAUCCAGUAUCAUCACAUAGCCUAUACCAUGUCAACACCUUAUCCUUCAAAGAUAAAGGAAAUACUUUCUUAUUUACCUCAUCCUCGGGCAAACCUACAAGCUUAAAUAAACCACAAACUUCAUCUACAUAGAUCAGAUGCAAGCCUCGAUGUCAAGAUCCAUCUCCUGUAAAAGGAUUAGCUAGCAGUUUCUCAAGCAUACCUGAAGGAAUUUCAUAAAAGAUAUUUUCAGUAGGUACCUCAGGUUGAGGAACAACUCCUCGUGCUUCCGUUCGUGGUGAAGAUACCUCGAACAAACUCCUCAAAGGAACAGUUUCCAUAGUGACAAGUGACAAUAAAUUUCAGCACAAUAUAUAAAUGUUUCCUUACCAAAUUCCACUUACCAAAGGCGCUUCACUCCCCGGCAACGGCGCCAGAAAAGUGUCUUGAUGACCCACAAGUAUAGGGGAUCAAUCGUAGUCCAUUCUAUAAGUAAGAGUGUCGAACCCCACGAGGAGCAAAAGGCUCUGAUAAACAAUUUUCAGCAAGGUAAUAACUGCAAGCACUAAAAGUAGUGGUAACAAGUGAUGGUGUAGUGAGGUCAAACCUAGCAAGCGAAAAGUAACAAAUAACAAGUAGUAGCAACGGUGUAGUGAUACAUCUCAAACGUAUCUACAAUUUUUGAUGGUUUCAUGCUGUUAUCUUGUCAUCUUUGGAUGUUUUAUGUACCUUUUAUAUCUUUUGUGGGACUAACUUAUUAAUUUAGUGCCAAGUGCCUCAUCCUGUUUUUUCUAUGUUUUUGGCUCUUUUCAUAUCUGAUUUUGGAACGGAGUCCAAACGGAAUAAAAUCGCCGAAAUAUUUUUUUCUCGAACGGAAGAAGAUCAGGGGGCUUGUGGGCCAAGCCAGGAGGGCUACAGGGAGCCCACAAGCCCCCCAUCCGCCACCAGGGGGCGGCGGUGGGCAGGCUUGUGGCCUCCCUAGCGCCCCCCUAACCUAGAUCUUGCGCCUAUCUAUUCCCUAAAAUACAUAAAAAAAUCAAGGGAUCCACGAAAAUACAUUUCCGCCGCUGCAAGCUUCCGUUUCCGCGAGAUCUCAUCUGGAGACCCUUCCUGGUGCCCUGCGGGAGGGGACUUUGGAGUUGGAGGGCUUCUUCAUCAACAUCAUCGCCUCUCCAAUGACUCGUGAGUAGUUCACUUCAGACCUACGGGUCCGUAGUUAGUAGCUAGAUGGCUUCUUCUCUCUCUUGGAUCUUCAAUACAAAGUUCUCCAUGAUCUUCAUGGAGAUCUAUCUGAUGUAAUCUUCCUUUGGCGGUGUGUUUGUCGAGAUCCGAUGAAUUGUGGAUUUGUGAUCAGAUUAUCUAUGAUAUAUAUUUGAGUCUUUGCUGAUUUCUUAUAUGCAUGAUUUGAUAUCCUUGUAAGUCUCUUCGAGUCUUGGGUUUUGUUUGGCCAACUAGAUCUAUGAUUCUUGCAAUGGGAGAAGUGCUUCGUUUUGGGUUCUUACCGUGUGGUGACCUUUCCCAGUGACAGUAGGGGCAGCAAGGCACACAUCGUGUAGUUGCCAUCAAGGGUAACAAGGUGGGCUCUGUCGUAGAUAUGAGAUUGUCCAUCUACAUCAUGUCAUCUUGCUUAAGGCGUUACUCUGUUCUUUUGUACUUAAUACACUAGAUGCAUGCUGGAUAGCGGUCGACGUGUGGAGUAAUAGUAGUAGAUGCAGAAAGUAUCUGUCUACUUGUUUUGGACAUGAUGCCUAUAGAUAUAAUCAUUGCCAUAGAUGACGUCACGACUUUGCGCGGUUCUAUCAAUUGCUCGACAGUAAUUUGUUCACCCACCGUCUACUUGCUUUCAUGAAAGAAGCCACUAGUAAACACUAUGGCCCCCGGGUCUAUUCACAUCUAUCGUUUCCACUUUUGCUUUUACUUUGCUUUGUUACUUUGUUGCUUUCAGUCCUCACUUGGCAAACAAUCUAUAAGGGAUUGACAACCCCUUCAUAGCGUUGGGAGCAAGUUUUUGUGUUUGUGCAGGCACUUGUGAUACUCCUUCACUGGAUCGAUACCUUGGUUCUCAAACUGAGGGAAAUACUUACCACCGCUGCGCUACAUCACCCUUUCCGCUUCGAGGGAACACCAACGCAAGGCUCCAAGGCCACGGGGUAAAUCCUUUGCAUAUUUGCCUAGGAAGUCCCUUAAGGCGUAGCCGUAGCAGAAGGAUUCCUGGUGCCGUCAACACGACUAUUUCUCGCGCCGUUGGAAGGUCUUUUGUUGCAGUAGCAGAAGUAUUUCUGGCGCCGUUGCCGGGGAAGGAGAGAUCUAUCCAAGUAGGUCUCCCAAACUCAUCUACUGCAUUUACUUUUUUGCCAGUUGCCUCUCGUUUUCCUCUCCCCCACUUCACAUUUGCCAUUUUCAUUUGCCUUUUUGCCUUUCUCCUUUGCCGUUUUCUUUUGCCUUUUUCCGUUCGCCCUUCUUUCGCUUGCUUUCUGUUUGCUUGUGUUACCAUGUGCCUUCUUUUAGCUUGCAUCUUCGCUUGCUGAAAAUCUAGUGAUAUGGAUCCUCAUCCACUUGCUAAUCUCUUUAAGAGAUCCACUUAUGUUGAUCCAAUUGCUAGUGAGUUGAGGGCACUUGACUUUUUCUAUGGAGUUUUGCUUGAGAUGCGUGAAUCUGAAAAUCAUGAUGAAGAAAUUCAUGAAGUGAUUCAUGAGGGCUCCUUGGAUGAAAAGCAUGAUUGCAAUUAUUUCACUAUAAAUCCUAUUAGUGACAAUCAUGCUAAAAAUAUGCAAAACCCUAAGCUUGGGGAUGCUAGUUUUGCUAUGUCCACUACUUGUUGCAAUAAUCAUGACUCGGGUGAUGAUCUUUAUUAUGACCUUGAAACUUUUUUUAGACCUCAUGAUGAAUAUGAUAUUUGCAAUAAUAUUUAAAGUGGGUUUGGAGAAGUCAUGACUUUAGUUGAUGAUAAUCCCACUAUUUUUGAAGAGUGGAAUGACCUAUUUGGAUCAUGAAAAGAAUAUCCUAUGGGAUAGCUAUAUUGUUGAAUUUGAAUAUGAUCCCACAUGUAAUUGCUAUGAUAGAGGAUAAUAUUUUGGUAGAAACUUUCAUGUUACCAAAUUACCUCUCGUUAUGUUGAGAUUGGUAUUGUCUCUUUCUUCUUCCUUGCAUAUGGCAACUAUUGGUUGUCUUGACAAUCUGUUUUCCUAUAAAAAUGCCUAUGCAUAGGAAGUAUGUUAGACUUAGAUGUGAUUUUUACAUGCUUUAUGAUGCUCUCGUUGUGCUUCAAUUCUUGUCUUUUGUGUGAGCAUCAUUGAUUUACCAACGCCUAGCUAAGGGCGUUAAACAAUGGCGCUUGUUGGGAGGCAACCCAACGAAUCUAUCAUUUUUCUUUCUGUUUUGUGUUUUUCAGUAUUUCAUAAUUCGGUUAUGAUUGUGUUUUUGUGUUUCUUUUUGCGUUUGUGCCAAGCAAAACCGUUAUGAUUAGUCUUGGGGAUGAUCGUUUGGUCAUGCUGGAAAAGACAGAAACUUUCUUCUCACAAAAAUAAUUUUCGUUUUUGUUCUGUAAGAGCUUUUGAGUUGAUUCUUUUUUCUGCUGAUUGCUACGCAAAUUCUUCAGGCUGUCGUAAUUUUUCAGAAUUUUGGAAGUCCCAGAAGUAUACGAAAUAUACAGAUUUCUACAGACUGGUCUGCUGUUAACAGAUUAUGUUUUUGUUGUGUUGGUUGCUUAUUUUGAUGAAACUAUGGAUAGUAUCGGGGGGUAUUAGCCAUGGAAGAUUGAAAAUACAGUAACCCAACAUCAGCAUAAGUAGAAUUUAAGUUUGCUACAGUACCUAAGGAAGUGGUGGUUUGCUUUCUUAUACUAAUGUUAUCACGAGUUUCUGUUUAAGUUUCGUGUUGUGAAGUUUUCAAGUUUUGGGUGAAGUUCUUAUGGACAAAGAGAUAAAGAGUGGCAAGAGCUCAAGCUUGGGGAUGCCCAAGGCACCCCAAGAGAUUCAAGGAUGCCGUAAAAGCCUAAGCUUGGGGAUGCCCCGGGAAGGCAUCCUCUCUCUCGUCUUCAAUCCAUCGGUAACGUUACUUGGGGCUAUAUUUUUAUUCACCACAUGUUUUGUGUUUUUGCUUGGAGCGUCUUGUAUCGUAGGAGUCUUUUAUUUUUGUUGUGUCACAAUAAUCCUUGCUUCCCACCUAGAGAGAGAAACACGCACUCACCGUGAUUUUGUCGAGCUUCACUUAUAUCUUUUGGUAGACAAUUCAGCUCACAUGUGCUUCACUUAUAUCUUUUGAGCUAGAUACUUUUGCUCUAUUUGCUUCACUUAUAUCUUUUAGAGCACAGCGGUGCGUGGCUUGGUAGUUUAUCUAUGCUUUGAAAGUAGUCUCAAAAGGGCUAUUCAUCCAAAGGGAUACGAAAACUUCCACCUUCAUGUGCAUUGAAUAGUUAGAGAAGUUUGAUUCAUCUCAAUUAGUUUUGAGUUGCGGUUUUGGUAAUAUUGAAGUUAUGCUAGUAAGGUGUCGUGGAUCUAGAAAUACUUGUGUUGAAGUUAGUGAUUCCCGUAGCAUGCACGUAUGGUGAACCGCUAUGUGAUGAAGUCUGAGUAUUUUUAGUCUAUUGAUUGUCAUGCUUUGCGUGGCGGUCGGGAUCGCGCGAUGGUUUAUACCUACCAACCCUUCCCCUAGGAGUAUGCGUUGAAUGCUUUGUUUCGAUUACUAAUAAUACUUUUGCAACAAGUAUAUGAGUUCUUCAUGACUAAUGUUGAGUCCAUGGUUUGGAUGCACUUUCACCUUCCACCAUCCACUAGUGGGGACGGGGCCUUUAGCCCCGGCCCGUAAGGGGCUUUAGUCCGGUUCACCAACCGGGACUAAAGGGGCGGGACUAAAGGCCUAACCUUUAGUCCCGGCCCUGUUACAAGCCGGGACUAAAGGUGCUCCACGUGAGCGCCUCGUAGCGCCCCAGGGGCAGGCCCUUUAGUCCCGGUUCGUUACACGGGCCGGGACUAAAGAGUUUCAGAUUUUGCUCAUUUUUGGGUUUUUUUUGAAUGAAAUUAUUUUUGGGUUUUAGGGUUUAGGUGUUCGGGAGAUUAACGUGAUGCCUCGUUUGGUGUUCGGGAAUUAGUUUUCAUACAAUUUAAAUAUAAAUAAUUAUGCAUAUAUAUAAGAUUAACUUAUCUUACAAGCGAGCAUAUAUAUACAAUUAUCUGGAGAUCUGAAUUAUCGGGACUAGAGCCCGUCUAUUUGAUUACAUGGACGAACAUCAGUAAUGGUCUCUAGCUACACUAAAUUGUCCUUUGUCAUCUAUAGCUUCCGUCCUCAGAAAGGUCGCAAGCUCCUCUGCAACAACUAUCGCGCGUUGCUCUGGUAGGACCUUCGUCGUCAUGGCCGUGUGCUAUAUAAGAAGAGGAGAUGAAUAUGAAUAUCAAUCAUGAUAACAAAGAAUGACGGGUAAAAAUAGAGGUGUGAAUGUUCAUUGCUUAUGUCGAAUCUGUGAUCCUUGUGCUCAGAGGUAAACGUGCGAAUGGUCUCGCAAACAUAGUAUCCGCAUAGAUGCGUUCCCCGUGGCUGCUGGUCGCACUUUACGAGAAUAGAAUAUAUAUAAUCAAAAUAAUAAUCUAGCAUCAUAAAUGUAUUGAAAAUAGAAGUAUAUCAUACUACUACUUACCUGAGCCGCUCUAAAGGUCAGCUUCUCAGGAAAGUUACCGGGAGUCACGCACUUGAACCGCUUCCAAACCCUGCCCGACAAGGAUAAUGAUUUGCUAAGUUUUUCAUUAAUUGAUAUAUCAGAAAAUCAUCGAAAGAGGCCGAUAGAGCGCAAGAAUGAUUGAAAUUACCCUUGGAGCAUGUCCUGCAGGCUUUGGAACUGUUCCAAGGGUCUCGAUAAUGGGUCGAAGGCAUCAACUCUUCCCUUAUCAAUUUGAAUGUCCAACAGAAUCCAAUGGAAGCUGCACAUGUAUAUAUAUAUAUGUGUGUCAGUAACUUAUCAAUUACACUUAUAAGUGAAUGGACACAACAGAGUAAAGACCCUCACCUGAAGUUGUAUGGAAACAGUAUGUGGUCACAGAAAUUUUGAUCUGUUAGAAACCUUAGAAGGUUUUCCUCCGUCUCCUUGGGAUAAUCAGUUAGCGUCGCUAUAUGUAUUUUAUCUGGGUCAAUAAACCCAAUAUUUAGGAUGCUCUUACUUUUACAAUCCAGAAUCUUCAUUCUGCAUAAUAGAGUACAAGUUAUAUAUAGACAAUGAAUUGAAAUAAGUAAACAAGUUAUAUUUAGACAACGAAUUGAAAAACUUACAGACAAUAGAAACUCAUAAGCGAUUUGUCGAGGGCGUCGCCAUUGUACAUCUGGAAGAGUUCAUCAAAGUCGAUAUGGAUUUGUUCGGGGCGGCCGUAGUACUCCCGUGGGGCACUCAGCACGAUCAUCGUUCUCCAAUUCUUUGAUUCACGUAAGUACCAUUGAUGCAAGUAACGCAUAUUUGUUGGGAGAUCAUCUUUGCUGACCAAAGGCUCACCCAUGACAAACUGUGGCUUAGGGGCUACCACAGCCUUGGGUAUCCUGUCGUCUUGGGAAGCCAGCAAAUCUUCAACCGAGACACCACAUUCAGCCGCCAACUCCUUUGCUAUUUCAAAAGCUAGCCCCUGCACCGAAGGGGGAACAUUCUCGGUUAACACCUUGAGGGGUGGGAUUGACUGUUUGGCCUGUUGUCCAAGCUGAGGAACGUCUGAUUUUUUCUUGCUUGUAGUUGAACUUGAUUUGCUCCCACUUGCACUUGCACGUGAUCUGCUCUUUUUCACUUCCUUCUGCAAUGUGCGUGUAUAGUCAUCAGGCAUAUGGUGUAAGUCAUACUGUGAUGGAAGGGUCGUGAAGUAUUUUGCAAAUGCUAUUUGCUUCUCGAUGUAUUCUGGGCGGGGCUCGGGUUCCUUCUUUUUCAUCUGCGCAUCAUGAUGUUCCUUUGCUAUCCUGGCGUUUUCCUCGGGGGUACGAUCAUAAGGUCUGAUAGGAAGAUUAGCAUGACGUACCUUUGGGAGGGGCGACCGUUUUCACUUUGGGGGGCUCUGUCGCUUAGGAAUCAUCGGCGGAGCGUUCUUGGUGGCACGCUCCCGCUUAGUAUCCGGAGCGGGCGGCGGCGGAGACGGACGACCCAAGUCCGGCGGCGGUGAUCGAGAUGGACUCGUGUUGUGCUAGCCGACGUCAUGUGGAGGGCUUGGAGGUGAUCUGCUCUUUUUCACUUCCUUCUGCAAUGUGCGUGUAUAGUCAUCAGGCUUAUGGUGUAAGUCAUACUGUGAUGGAAGGGUCGUGAAGUAUUUUGCAAAUGCUAUUUGCUUCUCGGUGUAUUCCGGGCGGGGCUCGGGUUCCUUCUUUUUCAUCUGCGCAUCAUGGUGUUCCUUUGCUAUCCUGGCGUUUUCCUCGGGGGUACGAUCAUAAGGUCUGAUAGGAAGAUUAGCAUGACGUACCUUUGGGAGGGGCGACCGUUUGCACUUUGGGGGGCUCUGUCGCUUAGGAAUCGUCGGCGGAGCGUUCUUGGUGGCACGCUCCCGCUUAUUAUCCGGAGCGGGCGGCGGCGGAGACGGACGACCCAAGUCCGGCGGCGGUGCUCGAGAUGGACUCGUGUUGUGCUGGCCGAUGUCAUGUGGAGGGCUUGGAGGUAAUGGAGGUGUAGGUGACCUGCGACGACUCGGAGGCGGUGUUGUCCUUGGGGCCGAUCCUGGAAGCUUGAUGUAGUUCUUGUCCCAUAGGAUGACUCCACCCAGUACUUCUCCGAGUGUCCUCUCAUCUUCGGGUCCAGCUAUGUCGAGCUCCAUAUCAUGAAACCCCGUCAGGAUUUCAUCCACCCCGACUUUAGCAAAGCCAGCUGGAAUCUCACGGCCAUGCUAGCGUGCAUCAGGGCCAGAAGGUAAAGCUUGUGCGACGGCCACCUUCAUGGAUAUGUUUUUGAAUUUCUGAUGGAGUUCACAUGAUGUUGACUCCUUGAUUCCAUCCACGGGGUAGGCAGGACCGCCCUCUAUCAUUCUUCGUGCAUCAUCGGGCGGGGCCUCAGAUUCAGCCACGCUGCUUUUCCGCUUAGAUGGGGCGCCGGUAAUAUCAAGUGCAUGAUCUACCUGGCGCGCUACUCCUCUAAGCUCAUCAAUCUGCUUCUGUUGCUCGUUAAUCCUGGCAAGCAACUGGUUGAACUUGUCAUUCUCCUCAUCCUGCUGCCGCUUCUUUGCUCUCUCUCGGCUUCUGUAAGUGUCUUGGUCUCUGGCAAACCCAAGCCACCACGGGUAAGAAGGACCGAAGCCUCGCGUUCGUCCUCCAUGUUCGUCAUUGCCGAGGACCAGUGUGAGCAAAUCUUUCUCUCUAUCUGCAGUGAACUUUCUUUUUCCCUCCUUAAUUUCUUUCACUAUAUUUUUCCAAUUCUCCCUGGGUAUCCUAAGACCGUCACUUCAGAUGAGGUCCCCUGUUUUUUCGUCGUACGACCCACCAUGCGCAAGGAACCAAUUUCUUGCUCUCAAUUCCCACUCAUCACGGAGUGGUUCACGUACGAUGCCUUUAUCUAGCAAAUCUUGCUCUUUCUUAUCCCACUUUGGGAUGGCAGUCUCAUAGCCCCCUGGCCCUAGCUUGUGGUGAUAUUUCUUCUUGUCGGCAUUUAUCUUGUUCUUUUCUGAUAAUGCCUGGGCAUCUUCUGACUCCUUGUACUCUUGAAAUGCCUUCCAGUGAUUCGCCUGCUUGGCUAGAUACCCCUCGAAUACUGGCACUUUCUUUGUCUUCAGAUAGUUUUUCCAUAGCUUCUUCUUCCAGCUACGGAACAGUUCGGCCAUCUUCUUUAGAGUCCACUGCUUGACUUUGGCCCUCAGUUUGUCUGCGGCGUCUUCAUUCUCACAUUCUGGCAGGUUGAAAUGUGACAUGAGAUCAUUCCAAAGAUUAUCUUUGUACCUUUCGGCGACAUAGUCAAUAUCGGCUGCCCCUUUGCGCUUGUUCCACUCCCGAACGCUGAUCGGGACGUGAUCCCUAACGAGAACUCCACAUUGCUUCUUGAAUGUGUUAGCAGCAUUCUUAGGAAGCUUGGGUUCGCCCGUAGGCAAUAUCACCUCAAAGGUGUAAUGCGUCCGUGCAUCCAACUUUCUAGUCGGGCCUCGUUUCGUAGCUUUGCUCGAUGUGGAGGCCUAAGAGGGAGAAACAUUCGUCAAAUGAAUGUAUAUGUAUACAAUAUAGAGCUAUCUCCAAUAUUUUUCACAUAUUAGAAGUGAUUGUCGAACUUCAUAUGUAUACCUCGCCGGACUUUAUUAUUUCUUCACCGGCUUCUCCACCGGCUUCUCCAUCAGUGGAGCUAUCACCUUCUCCGUCAUUGGACCUAUCUCCUGCCCCAUCGGCUUCAUCUUCGUGUCGCUCGACCUCCAUUCCAUAUCUGAAGGCGUUUAGAUAUGACGACGGAGAUUCAGCUGGUUCAACGUCGGGGCCGUCUUUGAUUAUAUCUUCGAUAAGUUCUUCCUCUUCGAGGUUCCUGAUAUGUGGAUCCAUAGUUCUCCAAAAAACGGACAUUUGAUUAACUAAUAAACUAACAAACUAUAUAAGAGGGGUUGGAAACUUCGAAGUGUCGUUUUAUAUAGGAGGACCUUUAGUCCCGGGUCUUGGCUAGAACCUAAACUCUAGCCGGGCGGAGCCCAGUCCCGGACACUUAAGCAUAUACAAUAGCAAAAUUAAACUAGUUCUAUGAAUUUUCUUGCUAAAAAUAAACUAUUAACACUUAAGCAUAUACAAUAGCAAAAUUAAGCAAUAAUCUAAGAAACACUAUUAACACUUAAGCAUAUACACUAUACAAUAGCAAAAUUAAAUGACAAAAAAAAUAUUUCUUCUUCUUGUAACCCUAAACUAAUUUUUCCUCUUCUUCUAUUUCUCCUCUUCUUCUACUUCUUCUUCUACUUCUACUUCUCCUCUUCUUCUACUACUUCUCCUCUUCUCUUCUUCUACUUCUCCUCUCCUCCUCUUCUAAUUUUUUCUCUUCUUCUACUUCUCCUCUUCUUCUAUUUUUCCUCUUCUUCUCCUCUCCUCCUCUUCUUAUUCUUCUUUUUCUUCUUUUCUUCUCCUCCUCUUCUUAUUUUCCUUUUUCCUAAUUCUACAUAUUACUAACCCUAAUAAUCUAGCACAAACCUAAUAACAAUAGGAAUUAAAUGACAAAAAAAAUCUUUUUCUUCUUUUCUUCCCUUUUUCUUCCUUUCUUCUCCUUUUUCUUCCUUUCUUCUCCUUUUUCUUCCUUUCUUCCCUUUUUCUUCUUUUCUUCUCCUUUUUCUUCUUUCUUCUCCUUUUUCUUCUUUUCUUCUUUUCUUCUCCUUCCCUUUUUCUUCCUUUCUUCUCCUUUUUCUUCCUUUCUUCUCCUUUUUCUUCUUUUCUUCUCCCUUUUCUUCUUUUCUUCUACUGGCCGGAGUGUUGGGGAGGAGGGGGCGGGGGGCUUACGGCCAGAGGUGUCGACGGCGCGCGGCAAGGAGGACGGCGGCGCGCGAGGAGGACGGCGGCGCGCGGCGAGGAGGACGGCGGCGGCGAGCAGGACGACGGCGACGGCGAGGAGGACGGCAGGUGGCAGCGAGAAGGACGGCGGGCAGCCUGACGGCAUCGUCGAGUUCCUCGUUGUGCCGCGCCGGGCAGGAGAACGAGAGGAAGAAGAAGAGAAAUGGACGAUUUGGGUUUGAAAUUUUCCAACUCCCGCUUAUACAGGUGGAUCUUUAGUCCCGGUUCGGGGCUCGGUCCGGGACUAAAGACCCCCUUUAGGCCCGGGUGGAGCCACGACCCGGGACUAAAGGCCCUUUUUCGGCAGACCAAAAGGCGGAAAGCAGGGGCCUUUAGUCCCGGGGCGUGGCAAGAACCGGGACUAAAGGGGGUCUUUAGUCCCGGGUGGAGCCAUGACCCGGGACUAAAUGCCCUUUUUCGGCAGACCAAAAGGCAGGAAGCAGGGGCCUUUAGUCCCGGUGUGUGGCAAGAACCGGGACUAAAGUGUUGCCUAUAUAAACCCUCGCCCCUGCCCACCAUAUCCCCUAUUUUUUGGUUGUUGAAGUGUGACCAUGCCAUGCUCUUGCCACUCUAGUUCAUGCACAUGACGUGUUCGAUGAAAUGCCCGAGCCACUCUAAUUAAGCUUUCUCCUCUCCAAGCUCGACCUCCAAGCUCCAUUUUCCUUAAUAUUUGUCUAGGUUUGGCCGUGCACCAACUGCACAAGUGUUUUAAAAGGUUAGCUACUUCAUCUUUUCAUUUGUCACUGCUAGUGUAGCUCAUUUCAAAUGCUCACAUUAACUUCUUAGCGUCUGCACAUGCGUAGGGUGUCGUCCCGUGCCCGUCCUCACCAUUGUCGAUCGCCCCGUGCCGAUCUCGUCGUGAGCACCACCGUGGUGAGCCUCUUGUUCUUAUCUUCUUUUUAAAAGAAAAAAAUCUUACUUGUAUGAUUUAGAUACAUACUUGUAUAAAUUACUCACUUUCGUUAUUUUUUGUUAUUAUAUAGUGCGAUGGUUUUGGUAUCCGCCUCCGUCGGCCCUCGUCCUGUCUAUGAUUCAGAUGUGGUAUAUAUUAUCUUUUAUAACUAUUUGUUUUAUUUAGUGUUUAUGACAAUUAUGACGACCAACGUGACAUAUAUUUUUUUAAUCUAGGAGGUAUGUGAAUCGGAAAUUCCAACCCACAUAAAAAUUCUUGUCGAGAAGUUAAAUUUGGUUGAAAAAGAAAACAAAUACUUGAAGAAAAAAUUGAAAAUAAUUGAGGAUAAGAAUAUGGAACUGGAGUUGCAUGUCGCCGAUGUCAUCGAUGAUCGCAAGAUGAAGAUCGAUGCGAUGCGGUUGAAGAUGGAUGCAAUGCGCUUGAAGAUGGAUGAAAUGCGCUUGAAGAUUAGGAAUAUUAGAAAAUAUGCCAUUGAUAAAGAGGUUUGGUAUCAUUAUGCUGUUGGGUCAAUUGUUACCUUAGUUGCGAUUUUGAUCACGUUUGUUGUUGCAUUUAAAUGUUUUACAUAGUUGUAUGUUGUUUUAUGAGAGAACUUUAUGUAUUUAUUUUUUGCAAUAAUAACAUUUGAUCACUACUGUUCUUUGGAUUUAAUGUGACGAUGAACUUGUAUUAAUUAGGUCGUAUGUUCUGCAAUGGUUUUUUGAUAUAUUUAAUUUCAUAAUAGAGAUGAAUCGCCAAUGAUAAUAUUUAAUUUCAUAAUAUGGUUUUUUGAACUUAUUGGAACUCCAUACUUUUUGUGUGUUCAAAAUGCACCAUUCAAAGGCACAUCACAAAAUUUCAACAAUUUCUGACUUCAUUUGGUAUAUUUCGUGCAUUUACUUAUUUUUUUGAGCUAGUUGACCCUGAAAUUGAAAAGCACUACAAAUGAACUCUGCAAAUGUUGAAAGUUGGCAUGCUAUCAUCAUUUCACCCACAUAGCAUGUGUUAAAAAGUUGAGAGGGCUACGACAAAAACUGGAUGCACUUCGUGUACAAAACGGACAAUCUCUCUCGAAGUAUCAGGGUUUCGAACGAGAACUCAUCUCUUACAUGGAUACUAUGAAAAUGAAAAGUGUUUGAAAUUUAGUACAUUCCAUACAUGCAUUACAUAAAAGGUUUAAUACAUUAUUACAUUAUUGCACCAAUAUUCCUAUCUAUUAUUUCUGUUUUCUUCUGGGUCGUAGCCAUGGAGAAUCUUCAUCAUUCAGUAGGAUGCUUGGGUCAGUUUUCACUUUGAAGGGCGGAAUUUCAUGAAACUUAUUAUAAUCUUGUGACAUGUAUGUCUUGUCAUCUACUCCCAUGAUGUUUCUUUUCCCUGAAAGAACUAUGUGGCGUUUUGGCUCAUCGGACGAUAUCUUCUUUUGUUGAUUUCUUUUUCUCGUUUUUGUAGACAUGUCCUUCGCAUAGAAAACCUGAGCGACAUCAUUGGCUAGGACAAAUGGUUCGUCCAUGUACGCAAGAUUGUUGAGAUCCACUGUUGUCAUGCCGUACUUUUGGUCUACAACUACCCCGCCUCCUGUCAGCUUCACCCAUUUGCACCGAAACAAAGGGAUCUUAAAAGUAGGUCCAUAGUCAAGUUCCCAUAUCUCCUCUAUGUACCCGUAAUAUGUUUCCAAACAGUGCCCAUUCUCGUCUAUUGCAUCAAAGCGGACACAACUAUUUUGGUUGGUGCUCUUUUUAUCUUGGGCAACCGUGUAAAAUGUAUUCCCAUUUAUCUCAUACCCUUGGAAAGUACAUAUAGUCGAAGAUGGUGGCCUGGCCAAACAGUACAACUCAUCUCCAACGGUGUUGUCAUUCAUGAGAUGUGUCUGCAACCAACUGCCGAAAGUCUUCUCGUGUUCCCCUUUAAUCCAAGAGUCAGCCUUCCCCGGGUUUUCAGAGCGUAGAAUAUUCUUGUGUCUCACGAUAUACGGAGCCACCACGGUGGAAUUGUGUAGAACUGCGUAGUGUGCUUGAGAGAAAGAAUGCCCGUCCAUACAUACUUUUGCUUUCCUUCCUAGUGUGCCUUUUCCUGUCAGCCUACCCUCAUACCGAGAUUCAGGAACACCAAUCGACUUAAGGUCAGGAAGAAAGUCCACAGAAAACUCAAUGACCUCCUUUGUUCCAUAGCCCUUGGAGAUGCUUCCUUCUGGCCUAGCACGGUUACGAACAUAUUUCUUUAAGACUCCCAUGAACCUCUCGAAGGGGAACAUAUUGUGUAGAAACACAGGACCGAGAAUUCUAAUCUCUUCGACUAGGUGAACUAGGAGGUGUGUCAUUAUAUCGAAGAAGGAUGGCGGGAACAACAACUCAAAGCUGACCAGACAUUGGACCACAUCAAUCUGUAACCCUGAUAGACUUUCUCGAUCGAUUACCUUCUGAGAAAUUGCAUUGAGGAAUGCACAUACCUUCACAAUUGCCAGGCGAACAUUUUCCGGUAUAAUUCCCCUCAAUGCAACCGGAAGCAAUUGCGUCUUAAGCACGUGGCAGUCAUGAGACUUUAGGUUUUGGAAUUUUUUGUCUUUCAUAUUUACGAUUCCCUUUAUAUUCGACGAGAAGCCAGUCGGGAUCUUGAUACUGAAAAGGACUUCAAAGAAGAUUUCCUUCUCUUCCUUAGUAAGAGCGUAGCUGGCACGCCCUUGAAACUGCCCUGGAUGCAUGCCAUCUCUUCCUUUAUGACGUUCCUGGUCCUCCCGUGCUUCCGGUGUAUCUUUUGACUUCUCAUACAAGCCCAGGAAGCCUAGAAUAUUCACGCAGAGAUUCUUCGUCAGGUGCAUCACGUCGAUUGCCGAGCGGACCUCAUGGACUUCCCAGUAGGGUAGCUCCCAAAAUAUAGAUUUCUUCUUCCACAUGGGUACGCGCUUAUCAGGGCCGUUAGGAACAGGUUGGCUACCAGGACCCUUUCCAAAGAUUACUUUUAAAUCUUUGACCAUAUCAAAUACUUCAGCACCAGUAUGGAUGGCAGGCUUCCCCCGGGGUUCUGCCUUGCCAUUGAAAUGCUUGCCUUUUUUCUUUAAGGGAUGUUUGGGCGGAAGAAAACGACGAUUGUGCGGGUACACAUUCUUCCUACAUUUGUCCAGAUAUAUACUUUCUGUCUGAUCCAAACAGUGCGUGCAUGCAUUGUAUCCCUUGUUUGACUGUCCUGAAAUGUUACUAAGAGCAGGCCAAUCAUUGAUGGUUACGAAAAGCAACACUCGAAGGUCAAAUUACUCUUGUUUGUGCUCGUCCCACACAUGUACACCUGGUUCGGCCCACAGCUGUAAAAGUUCAUCAACUAAUGGCCUUAGAUACACAUCAAUAUCGUUGUCGGGUUGCUUUGGACCUUGGAUAAGCACUAGCAUCAUAAUGAACUUCCGCUUCAUGCACAACCAAGGAGGAAGGUUGUAGAUACAUAGAGUAACGGGCCAGGUGCUGUGACUGCAACUCUGCUCCCCAAAAGGAUUCAUGCCAUCUGUACUCAGACCUAACCAUAAGUUCCUUGCGCCAGCUGCAAAUAUCGGGAACUCUUUCUCGAUUUUUCUCCACUGCCGACCAUCAGCGGUGUGCCUCAACUUAUCGUCUUUCAUACGAUCUUCCAUGUGCCAUCGCAACAACUUCGCAAGAUCUUUAUUUCUGAACAGAUGUUUCAACCGUGGUAUUAUAGGAGCAUACCACAUCACCUUGGCAGGAAAUGUUCAAAAUGCACCAUUCAAAGGCACAUCACCAAAUUUCAACAAUUUCUAACUUCAUUUGGUAUAUUUCGGGCAUUUACUUAUUUUUUUGAGCUAGUUGACCCUGAAAUUGAAAAGCACUACAAAUGAACUCUGAAAAUGUUGAAAGUUGGCAUGCUAUCAUCAUUCCACCCACAUAGCAUGUGUUAAAAAGUUGAGAGGGCUACGACAAAAAUUGGAUGCACUUCGUGUACAAAACGGACAAUCUCUCUCGAAGUAUCAGGGUUUCGAACGAGAACUCAUCUCUUACAAAGGGAUUUCAUUUUUUUGAACUUAUUUGAACUCCAUACUUUUUGUGUGUUCAAAAUGCACCAUUCAAAGGCACAUCACAAAAUUUCAACAAUUUCUGACUUCAUUUGGUAUAUUUCAUGCAUUUACUUAUUUUUUUGAGCUAGUUGACCCUGAAAUUGAAAAGCACUACAAAUGAACUCUGAAAAUGUUGAAAGUUGGCAUGCUAUCAUCAUUCCACCCACAUAGCAUGUGUUAAAAAGUUGAGAGGGCUACGACAAAAAUUGGAUGCACUUCGUGUACAAAACGGACAAUCUCUCUCGAAGUAUCAGGGUUUCGAACGAGAACUCAUCUCUUACANNNNNNNNNNNNNNNNNNNNNNNNNNNNNNNNNNNNNNNNNNNNNNNNNNNNNNNNNNNNNNNNNNNNNNNNNNNNNNNNNNNNNNNNNNNNNNNNNNNNNNNNNNNNNNNNNNNNNNNNNNNNNNNNNNNNNNNNNNNNNNNNNNNNNNNNNNNNNNNNNNNNNNNNNNNNNNNNNNNNNNNNNNNNNNNNNNNNNNNNNNNNNNNNNNNNNNNNNNNNNNNNNNNNNNNNNNNNNNNNNNNNNNNNNNNNNNNNNNNNNNNNNNNNNNNNNNNNNNNNNNNNNNNNNNNNNNNNNNNNNNNNNNNNNNNNNNNNNNNNNNNNNNNNNNNNNNNNNNNNNNNNNNNNNNNNNNNNNNNNNNNNNNNNNNNNNNNNNNNNNNNNNNNNNNNNNNNNNNNNNNNNNNNNNNNNNNNNNNNNNNNNNNNNNNNNNNNNNNNNNNNNNNNNNNNNNNNNNNNNNNNNNNNNNNNNNNNNNNNNNNNNNNNNNNNNNNNNNNNNNNNNNNNNNNNNNNNNNNNNNNNNNNNNNNNNNNNNNNNNNNNNNNNNNNNNNNNNNNNNNNNNNNNNNNNNNNNNNNNNNNNNNNNNNNNNNNNNNNNNNNNNNNNNNNNNNNNNNNNNNNNNNNNNNNNNNNNNNNNNNNNNNNNNNNNNNNNNNNNNNNNNNNNNNNNNNNNNNNNNNNNNNNNNNNNNNNNNNNNNNNNNNNNNNNNNNNNNNNNNNNNNNNNNNNNNNNNNNNNNNNNNNNNNNNNNNNNNNNNNNNNNNNNNNNNNNNNNNNNNNNNNNNNNNNNNNNNNNNNNNNNNNNNNNNNNNNNNNNNNNNNNNNNNNNNNNNNNNNNNNNNNNNNNNNNNNNNNNNNNNNNNNNNNNNNNNNNNNNNNNNNNNNNNNNNNNNNNNNNNNNNNNNNNNNNNNNNNNNNNNNNNNNNNNNNNNNNNNNNNNNNNNNNNNNNNNNNNNNNNNNNNNNNNNNNNNNNNNNNNNNNNNNNNNNNNNNNNNNNNNNNNNNNNNNNNNNNNNNNNNNNNNNNNNNNNNNNNNNNNNNNNNNNNNNNNNNNNNNNNNNNNNNNNNNNNNNNNNNNNNNNNNNNNNNNNNNNNNNNNNNNNNNNNNNNNNNNNNNNNNNNNNNNNNNNNNNNNNNNNNNNNNNNNNNNNNNNNNNNNNNNNNNNNNNNNNNNNNNNNNNNNNNNNNNNNNNNNNNNNNNNNNNNNNNNNNNNNNNNNNNNNNNNNNNNNNNNNNNNNNNNNNNNNNNNNNNNNNNNNNNNNNNNNNNNNNNNNNNNNNNNNNNNNNNNNNNNNNNNNNNNNNNNNNNNNNNNNNNNNNNNNNNNNNNNNNNNNNNNNNNNNNNNNNNNNNNNNNNNNNNNNNNNNNNNNNNNNNNNNNNNNNNNNNNNNNNNNNNNNNNNNNNNNNNNNNNNNNNNNNNNNNNNNNNNNNNNNNNNNNNNNNNNNNNNNNNNNNNNNNNNNNNNNNNNNNNNNNNNNNNNNNNNNNNNNNNNNNNNNNNNNNNNNNNNNNNNNNNNNNNNNNNNNNNNNNNNNNNNNNNNNNNNNNNNNNNNNNGUCCCGGUUUUAGACAAAAACCGGGACUAAAGUGUUGCCUAUAUAAACCCUCGCCCCUGCCCACCAUCUCCCCUGUUUUUUGGUUGUUGAAGUGUGACCAUGCCAUGCUCUUGCCACUCUAGUUCAUGCACAUGACGUGUUCGAUGAAAUGCCCGAGCCACUCUACUUAAGCUUUCUCCUCUCCAAGCUCGACCUCCAAGCUCCAUUUUCCUUAAUAUUUUUUUAGGUUUGGCCGUGCACCAACUGCACAAGUGUUUUAAAAGGUUAGCUACUUCAUCCUUUCAUUUGUCACUGCUAGUGUAGCUCAUUUCAAAUGCUCAAAUUAACUUCUUAGAGUCUGCACAUGCGUAGGGUGUCGUCCCGUGCCCGUCCUCACCAUUGUCGAUCGCCCCGCGCCCCUCUUUAUUUCUGAACAGACGUUUCAACCGUGGUAUUAUAGGAGCAUACCACAUCACCUUGGCAGGAACCCUCUUCCUGGGUGGCUCGCCCUCAAUAUCACCAGGGUCAUCUUUUCUGAUCUUAUACCGCAAUGCAGUGCAUACCGGGCAUUUAUCCAUAUUCUCGUACUUCUCACCGCGGUAGAGGAUGCAGUCAUUAGGGCAUGCAUGUAUCUUCUGCACGUCUAAUCCUAGAGGGCAGACAAGCUUCUUUGCUUCGUACGUGCUGGCGGGCAAUUCGUUCUUUCUUGGAAGCAUCUUCUUCAUCAGUACCAGCAACUUUUCGAAUGACGAGUCAGUCACACCGGUCUCUGCCUUCCACUUCAGCAAUUCCAGUGUNNNNNNNNNNNNNNNNNNNNNNNNNNNNNNNNNNNNNNNNNNNNNNNNNNNNNNNNNNNNNNNNNNNNNNNNNNNNNNNNNNNNNNNNNNNNNNNNNNNNUCUGCCACCACAUGGCAAAGGGGGGAAGGCAGACGGCAAAGGGGGGAAGGUAGACGGCAAAGGGGGGAAUCUGCCCCCUCUCUCUCCCCUCUUUGCCGUCUGCCCCCACAUGGCAAAGGGGGGAAGGCAGACGGCAAAGAGAGGAGGCCUGCCGUUAACACUUAAGAGGGAUGUUGCAAUAUGUGUCGUCCCAUUUAUUUUGCCGUCUGCCCCCUCAUGGCAAAGAUUCUUUGUUGUCCGCUUUGAGAAAGCACACGGCAAAGAACCUCUUCACCGGAUUUUUUUUGCCGUCUACUUUGCCGUCAGCUGACCGACGGCAAAGCCUUUGCCGUCCGUGGUUGCACCCUUUGUCGUCCGCCUUGGCAGAUGGCAAAUUUGUGAAUUUCAGUAGUGUUUGUAGUUGAUGCUAGUUGGAUUACUCGGUGGAAGAUUAUAUGUUCAGAUCCUUGAUGCUAUUCACUACCUCUCUGGUCAUGAAUAUGAUUAUGCUUUCUGAGUAGUCACUUUUGUUCCUGAGGACAUGGGAUAAGUCUUGCUAUAUGUAGUUAUAUGAAUUUGUUAUUCGUUCGAUAUUUUGAUGCGUUGUAUGUUUUUUUCCUCUAGUGGUGUUAUGUGAACGUCGACUUGAUAACACUUCACCAUUAUUUGGGCCUAUAUGAAGGCAUUGGUAAGUAAUUAGUAGAUGACUGGUUGCUAGAGUGAUAGAAUCUUAAACCCUAGUUUAUGUGUUGCUUCGUAAGGGGCUGAUUUGGAUCCACUAGUUUAAUGUUAUGGUUAGACUUUGUCUUAAUUCUUCUUUCGUAUUUGCCGAUGCUUGUGAGAGGGGUUAAUAAUAAGUGGGAGGUUUGUCCAAGUAAGGGCAGCACCCAAGCACCGGUCCACCCACAUAUCAAACUAUCAAAGUAGCGAACGCGAAUCAUAUGAACAUGAUGAAAACUAGCUUGACAGAAAUUCUCACGUGUCCUCGGGAACGCUUUACCUCCUAUAAGAGUUUGUCCAGGCUUGUCCCUUGAUACAAAAGGGAUUGGGCCCCUUUUCUGCACCUUUGCUACUUGUUACUUGCUACUUGCUACGAAUCAUCUUAUCACACAACUAUCUGUUAUCGAUAAUUUCAGUGCUUGCAUAGAUUACCUUGCUGAAAACCACUUGUCAGAUCCUUCUUCUCCUCAUCGGGUUCGACACUCUUACUUAUUGAAAGGACUACGAUAGAUCCCCUACACUUGUGGGUCAUCAGCCUGCACUGUUGCAAGAGAAACUCCUUGCACGGAUUCAGUUGUUGUUGGAGAUAUAGCUGAAUAGUUGGUUGUUGCCAAGGAAAUGGUUGUUGUGGUUGCUCGGGAUAUUUUUGUUGCGGGGGCUGAGGAAAAGGUUGUAACAGUGGCUGAGGGUAUGAUUGUGGGGGCUGGGGGAAUGAUUGGUGUGGUGGCUGAGGGAGUAGUUGGUCGGGGAAUGGUAGGAACGGGUGGGUAAACGGUAGUAGUGGCCGUUGGGGGAAUUGUUGUGUGGGUUGGGGAAAUUGGUGUUGUGGUUGCUGGAGCCAUUCCUCCUGGGAUUGAGGAAAUGGACGUUGUGGUUGUUGAGGGAAUGGUUGUUGUGGCUGGGGAAAUUGUUAUUGUGAUUGACUGAUGAAUGGUUGCUGAGACUCGGGAUAGGGUUGUUGUUGUGUCGAUUGUACUUGGACACUAGGGUUGACUUGCAUCUCAGAGGUGGCAAAGGUAGUCGCCAUGGCAAGGAUUGUAAGGAUGAUGAAGAUCUUCAUGGUGGAUUUGUGUUAGCUAAACCUUUCUUGGUAAUGGUGCUUGUGUUCUAGUUAUGUAAAGGAUGGAUGAUGGUAUGUGAUCUACA
rnacentral:lncRNA from 1 species